rnacentral:rRNA from 1 species
UACGGGGGGAGCAAGCGUUGUUCGGAAUUACUGGGCGUAAAGGGCGCGUAGGCGGCCUACUAAGUCAGACGUGAAAUCCCCCGGCUUAACCUGGGAACUGCGUCUGAUACUGGAAGGCUUGAGUAUGGGAGAGGGAUGUAGAAUUCCAGGUGUAGCGGUGAAAUGCGUAGAUAUCUGGAGGAAUACCGGUGGCGAAGGCGGCGACCUGGUCCAUUACUGACGCUGAGGCGCGACAGCGUGGGGAGCAAACAGG